rnacentral:tRNA from 1 species
AUAAAGAUAAGCUAAAAAAGCUAACGGGUUCAUACCUCGUUUAUAAGAGUAAAAUCUCUUUCUUUUUA